GCCGUAGCAAAAUACGCGACGAACCGGGCUAUCGCAAUCCUGGUAGCGGUGACCAGUUGCUUCACAAUUCCAGCACACUAAAUUAAGGGCGGCUAUUCCCAUUUCUUCGUCAUCCGAUACCUCGGUUUCUGUUUCACACUCUACCUGACAUUGAACUGCAUUGACAGAUCGGCGCGGCAUCGGCACUGGACGAGAUUUUGGUAAAGCGUGAUUUCCUACCGUUUGUAGGAAGAUCUCUCGAGUUCUGACAAAAUGCCGAAGUUUUGAUAUGCUGAGUAUUUCCUCAUAUAGGAGUUCAUGCAUGCUCUAAGAGAGAAGAUUCCGACAUGGGAAUAGAGAGCUUAUCCGCAAGAGAAAUGAUUGACUCGUAGAACUCGUCAAAACUUUCUCCAUCUUUUUGUUUGCGUCUAUCGAUGCUCGCUCUUAUCUGUAGGUCGGUUCGUUCGUCCUUGAAUUGACUUUUAAGAGCUUGGCAAAGGCCCUCCCAUUGUACCAUAGGUACACUUUUGUGGUACCGCCAAAACCAUUCGCUUGCGGUUCCUUCAAAAAGGUUGCUGGCAUACCGCGCAAGCAAUUCGAAAUUGCCCUGCAGCGUUUGGGAUGUCAAUGCCUCGACCCGAUAGAUAAAAUCGUCGACGCCUAAAACAGAUUUACCAGAAAAUCGAAGUUUCCAAUUAAAAAUAAUUUGGCUAAUUCGAUCUGGGCGCAAGUCCGAAC
rnacentral:lncRNA from 1 species